CGGGGCGUAGCGCAGCCUGGUAGCGCACCUGCCUUGGGCGCAGGGGGUCGUAGGUUCAAAUCCUAUCGCCCCGA
rfam:Acidobacteria bacterium RIFCSPLOWO2_02_FTLL_60_20 rifcsplowo2_02_scaffold_17793, whole genome shotgun sequence.